UUUUAGAACUUUUUGACCACUGGGAUUUCUCAUGCCCGAUUCCUUUCCCCCAAUUCUACAUGAAAAUGGAUGACUGGGAUUAAGAUCCCUGCUUUAGAAAAUGUCAUAUACACAAAAUUUUCUUUGAAGCACUUUUUUUUUUUUGUAAAAUCAAAAGAUUUGGGACACCUUUAAUGGUCAUCAAUAGGGAUUUGGUUAAAUAAAUUAUGGUGCAUUCAUUCUGAGGCAGUGAGCUCUGACGCAGAGGGCAUUUGAGCUGGCAGAGGCCAUUGUCAAUGAGAAUGCUCUUUAUAUAGAAGAUGUUCAGGAUAUAUUUUUAAAUAACAAAAGAAGAUCCAGAACAUUUUGUACAGUAUGCUAAUGUUUAUGAAAAAAAUAUAUAUUGUAUGUGCAAAAAGAAGGCAUUGAAGGAAAAAAUGAGAAACUGAUAACUGGUGGUCCAGGAAGGGGACCUUGGUGGCAGAAGGACAGGAGUGGGUGGGAGCCACUGUGAUUUUGAACCAUGAGAAUAUAUUACCUAUUCAAUAAGCAAAUUAAUAGGAUUUAAUUUUAAAAAUCUCUGCUUUAUUUAUCUUGCUAUAAAAUAGGAGUUCAGUUCUCGGCCAUCUCUCUGGUAUAUCUCUAAUAUAUUUGAUGUUCCUGUUAGCUUUUCUGGAAUAUUUCUUGAACAUGGGACAAACAGAGAGGAGCACAGAUUGGAUUUUGCUUAUCUGACAUAUGUUAGAUUUAUUUAUGUGUAUGUCUUCAAAUCUGUGUGUAUAGUGUGUUGCUUGGUCUGUAUAUUCCAAGUCAACCACUAAGGACAGCCAAAGGUGCCAAUGUGGAAAAGGGCCAGAAAUGGCUAAAUCCGUUUUGUGGGCGUGUGUCAGCCAGUCCGCCUGCUUUUAUAGUCACGGUGGGGAGUGGUGUGAGAGAUGACUGAAAGGAGGUUAGGGCCAAAUUAUGAAGGGCUUUGGCAGGUUGCUAGGACACCCAAACCAGGGAGUCUUUACUCUGCCAGACAAGGGGAUCCACUGGGGAUCUGUGAGCAGGGGAGACAGGUGUUCAGAUCAGUGUCUAGAAAGAGGCAAUGCUAGUGGUGUCUGGACAGACCUAGCCAGUGCAGGGGACCCAAGAGAAAAGGCUCUUCGUAUUCGGGUUUUUCUUCACAGGGACAGAAUAUCUCACAUUAGGGGGUCAUUGACACAUAUCAUGCAGUUUAUAUAUAUAGUUAAAAAAUUGAGUAGACUGGAGUUGGAAGGAGGAAUGUAACACAGACUGGGAAAUUAUAUUUGUAAAACCAAUAAUGAACUGUAAGAGGCAUCAGAAAAUAAAAAAAAGCUCAGAUAAGAGAGAAUGUCAGAGUAGCUGCAAGUCUCUCAAAGAAGGCCUGACACAGUCCUCAGCCAGAGCCAAGUCUGCUCAGCUGUGUACUGCAACUCCCAGGGAACUUGUUCCCGCCUUCAUCCAGCUCAGAGAGACAACAGAGCAGAGAAAAUUCCACUCCAGUUACGUGAAUCAAAUAGCCUCUGUCAUCCCUGUCCAGCGGUGCCCUCAGGUUGGUUCCAGCCGCCUUUACGAGGGACCUGCUGGGGAGAAAGGGGAAAGGAAGUAACAGCAUGAGGUUUCAUCCUCAGUUCCUCACUAGUAAACUAGCUGUGGUCUGUUUUGAGGAUUAAAUGAGACAAUGCAUGUGAAGCACUUACCACAGUGCCUGGCCUGUGGUUAAAUCUCAGAAAAUGGCAGUUACCACUGACAAAGCCAUGCAGUAGAAAUAAUAAUUAUUACUGCUUAGUAGAUAAAGAACUAAGGUUCAGAGAGGUUAAGUAACUUGCCCAGAGUUACAUGGCAAGAAAGGGAAAGAGCCUGGAUUUGAAGCCUGGUUGCUCUGGCUUCAAAGCCACUGUUCCUCCUACUGCCUCAAGCUACUUCACAAAUAAAUUUGCAAACCUUAAUUCAAAUCACACCUUAAGAUGCUCAAGGGGUGAAGGGCAGAUACAGUACUUCUAAUUUUCAGAGCAGUAGCUCACGUGGCAUAUUACAGAAAGAGGAGAAAACAAGCAAACAUUUCCAGGGCUUGCAACCC
ensembl:lncRNA